rnacentral:rRNA from 1 species
ACGGCUCAGUAACACGUGGAUAAUCUGCCCUUAGGUGGAGGAUAAUCUCGGGAAACUGAGGAUAAUACUCCAUAGAUCUAGGAUGCUGGAAUGCAUCUAGAUUGAGAGCUCCGGCGCCUAAGGAUGAGUCUGCGGACUAUCAGGUUGUAGUCAGGGUAAAGACCUGACUAGCCUACGACGGAUACGGGUUGUGAGAGCAAUAACCCGGAGACGAUAUCUGAGACACGAUAUCGGGCCCUACGGGGCGCAGCAGGCGCGAAAACUUCACACUGUGCGAAAGCGCGAUGAGGGAAUCCCAAGUGUUUGCUCGUAAGAGUAAACUGUUUCUUUGUUUAAAACGCAGAGAGAGUAAGGGCUGGGUAAGACGGGUGCCAGCCGCCGCGGUAAUACCUGCAGCUCAAGUGGUGAUCAUUAUUAUUGGGCCUAAAACGUCCGUAGCCGGUUUAGUAAAUGCCUGGGUAAAUCGUGUAGCUUAACUAUACGACUUCCGGGUAGACUGCUAAACUUGAGGCCGGGUGAGGCUAGAGGUACUCCUGGGGUAGAGGUGAAAUUCUGUAAUCCUAGGGGGACCACCAGUGGCGAAGGCGUCUAGCUAGAACGGGUCUGACGGUGAGGGACGAAGCCCUGGGGCACAAACCGGAUUAGAUACCCGGGUAGUCCAGGGUGUAAACGCUGCUUGCUUGAUGUUAGUUGGGCUCCGAGCCCAACUAGUGUCGGAGAGAAGUUGUUAAGCAAGCUGCCUGGGAAGUACGGUCGCAAGGCUGAAACUU